GACAGAGGGUGCAAACGUUGCUCGGAAUCACUGGGCGUAAAGGGCGCGUAGGCGGGAAUGUAAGUCGGGCGUGAAAUCCCCAGGCUCAACCUGGGAACUGCACUCGAAACUGCGUUUCUUGAGUAUCGGAGAGGAAAGCGGAAUUCCUGGUGUAGAGGUGAAAUUCGUAGAUAUCAGGAGGAACACCGAUGGCGAAGGCAGGUCUCUGGGCUGACACUGACGCUCAUGCACGAAAGCGUGGGGAGCAAACAGG
rnacentral:rRNA from 1 species